rnacentral:lncRNA from 1 species
GGCCCCCUCCAGUGUAGCCUUCCCCUUCGAGGAGUGGUCGGCCAAAACCCUAACCACUAUUUUCCCUUUAUCAAUCAUCUUCUUUAGUGCAUGCAUUUCAAGAGAUAGCAAAAGGCAUCCAUGUUAAGAACUAACUAAAGACAAUAACUUAUGGAAUGGGCUAAAAGAUCUUAAGGGUAACAUUAACUAAUAAUAGAGAUUUUUUCACAUUCUUCUAUGCAUGUAACAUAAACAUAAAGUACUAACAACUUAUCACUGUAACAUGUUGUAAUU